rnacentral:tRNA from 2 species
UGGUCCAGUGGCUAGGAUUUCACGCUCUCACCGUGACGGCCGGGGUUCAAUUCCCCG